UGCCCAGCAACUCCUAUCCCUACCUCCACGUGGUGCCGGCCGGAAACUAUGAGCAACCUUAGGGAAGAUCGGGUAACCAACCCCGGUGGGGACUUUGGUCGUAGGCUGACAGGAAGGG
rnacentral:ribozyme from 1 species